rnacentral:rRNA from 1 species
GUCCACGCCGUAAACGAUGGAUGCUAGCCGUUGGCGAGCUUGCUCGUCAGUGGCGCAGCUAACGCUUUAAGCAUCCCGCCUGGGGAGUACGGUCGCAAGAUUAAAACUCAAAGGAAUUGACGGGGGCCCCGCACAAGCGGUGGAGCAUGUGGUUCAAUUCGAAGCAACGCGAAGAACCUUACCAGCCCUUUACAUGUCCCGUAUGGAUUUCAGAGAUGAGAUCCUUCAGUUCGGCUGGCGGGAACACAGGUGCUGCAUUGCUGUCGU